AAAAGAAAGAGAUCUGAGAGCCUUGUCCUGCAAAGAGAGGUGAGAUCUAUCAUCAGUUUAAGUGUUUAAAAGUACUGAAGAUCUUCAGAGCUGAAUGAGUUAGAGUUUUAAUGAGUUAAAACCACACAGGCAGAAUCAGAGGGUGAUUUUGAAGAAGAGGAUGAACAGAUCAUAGGAAGGGUUCACAAGGUGGCCAAAAGAAAGAGAUCUGAGAGCUCUGUCCUGCAAAGAGAGCUGAGGAGCUCAUCUGAAGUUGAGCGGGUUGGUUCAAGGAUCCGUGCACUGAGAGUAACAGAAAAGGAAUCAGAGGAGGAGUGUACGAGAGGAGAGAGUCCAAGUCUGCCUGAGAAAGAAGAGGAAGCCCUGUCAAAAGAAAGUGGUGAGGAAGAUGUGUUGCAGAAUGAGGUAAGUGAAGUGGCUAGUACAUCAAACAAGCAAUAAUCAUAUCACAAAAAGAUAACGUUUUACCACAUUAGCAAAAUAAAAACUUGAAACUUGGCUUUUAAAACCCACACUUGUCUGUUUCAUUUCUUCUUUAAUUCAUAUUGAUAAAUUAACAGGAUACACGAGCAUUGAUGAGCCAAUCUCCAGACCUAAAACUGAAUACAGCCCUGGUUUCACUGAGUCCUGUCACUCUCAAGACACCUGUAGUAAGUAUAAUGUCAACAUAUACCACCAUAUACCACAUAUAACACAAACACAAGAAAAGCUGUUACUCAAGUCAGAAAAAGUAUUUUACAGUAAACAGACUUGUUUAGACAUCAGGCCCAUUCUUUACAAUAAAGGGACUCUUACAUAGAUGUUGGAUCUUUGCCAUUGUGUGUAGGUGAUAAAAUGGGUUUCUAUAAGGCCAACAAAUCAAAAUGAUAACUUCUGACUGUGAAGUAGAUCUGCUCGCUUUUUGUUAAUAAUUAGUGGCUUUCUAAACUGUUUACAACAUGCUUUGACCUUUUCCCACAGAAUGACAAGGUGGCAGUCAAAGUCCGUCCUGGUGUAAGAGCACUGCACUAAAACACACCUGAACAUCCGAGCUAGAUGAACUAGAUGAUCGAGAACAUAUUUUAACAUCUUUUUUAUUUUAAUUUUUUUAGAUGCAGCAAGCUUUUGUAAGCCCAGGAACAGCAACGAUUUUGACAACUCACUCAACAAAAACUGUGUGUGACCGAGUCAAUAUGGUGAAUAAGAUGAUUUUCCACCAGUCAUCUUUGUUUGAAGUCAUCGUGCCAAUAUCUGGUAAUUAUGGAAAAAUAUGACAAAGUGAAGUAAUAGAGCCUGGACAAGAAAAGUUGCAUAUAUAUAUUUCUGUAUUUAUACACUUUUAAGGUGACAACAUUGAACACCAGGCUGGAUCCACAGUUGGACAGAUGAUUCCCUCAGGUAAAUACAUAGUACAAUGCAAAGGAUAAAUACUGGUGCAAAUUUCAAUAGUAACCAAUCAUUAUUUACUUAACAUAAAGGAUCCAUGGGGGAAACUGUGUCCAAAGAGUGGCUAUUGGAGAAUGAAGUCUCAGUGGGAGACACAACAUUGCACAAGAGCCUGCCUGAACAAAGGGGGGAGAAUAUGAAGGACAAGAAAAAGAAGGUGAAG
ensembl:lncRNA